rnacentral:rRNA from 1 species
CCUACGGGAGGCAGCAGCCGCGGUAAUAGGGGCAACCCUGACCGAGCAACGCCGCGUGCAGGACGACGGCCUUCGGGUUGUAAACUGCUUUUCUUGAGGACGAGAAUGGACGGUACUCAAGGAAGAAGCCCCGGCUAACUACGUGCCAGCAGCCGCGGUAAU